UUCUUGUUUUGAGGUUAAGGCUAGUUUGCAAGAGCAGGAAUCAAUGCACUACCAGUGAUGGUACUGCUGACCCCAGACUGUAAUUAAUCCCAUGAAAAAAAACAAGAUGAUAUCUCAUAAAGGGUAAUUGAUGCUGUUGGAGAUGGAUGUCUUAGUUGGCAUGUGUUGACCUCUGAUUAACUCCUCAAGAUCUGUAUCAUGGAAUAUUCAGUCUGACUGAUGUAAUGCAAGUCUUGCAGUCUUUCAGAAACCCAACCAUUCUCUCUUCCUUUUCCAACUGCUGAUUUAAGAAGUUCAGGCAGACUCUUCAAUUCCAGCCAUGCUGCAGAUUUGUAGCUGUAAUCAGUCUAAUCCUGCCUUCACACUUGGCCAGCUAACUGGCUGUUGCGAGUAUUAAUUAGGGAAUUAAUUAAAGAAUUUACUCAAGGAACUAAACAGAACAAGAAGGUAGCCAGACUAACUGGUUGUGGGAACACAAGAACAAAGCCAGAAAGUACAUAUCAGAGAUACAGGAAACAUGAUAAAAGUUAAUUAGUCCUGAUCUUUAGAUAAUGAUUUUGCCACAGUGGGAGAGAUUAAACAGUAUAGCUGAUAUCCUCUGGAGUUUAAAAGAGGAUGAAGGGUAAAAAACAUUCAUAUAGGGAUGAGAGAGAAGAUGUGAACUUGAUAUUUUACCUGGCUGUGGUAUCUUGGAUCGGGGUCAAAAUUUCUAAAAUAAUUGCUGGGUUAUGUCUAACCAAAAAGAUAAAUGCUGCCAACCAGACACUUCUACCAUGUCAGCUGAAGUGGUGGAUGCAGGCUGGAUUUCAACACUUCAGAGAAGUUUGGAUAACUACAUGGAUGGGAAGGGUAUGGAAGACGAUGGUCCUAGUUUAAGUCAAUGGGACUGGGCAGAAUAAUAGUUCAACAUGGGCUGAAGGUCCUGUUUCUGGCCCUAAGAGGUCUGUGAAGGCUCAGAAACACAAUAUAUUCAUAAAAGAGAUAUUUAGCCAUUAGGGAAUCAUGGAAUAUAUAGAUAGUGAUGGAAUGUGAUGUGUUUAAAAUAUCUCCCAUGAGAGCUUGAAUGGCCUCUUGCUUUUAUUUCUUUGUCCUUCUGCUGGUCAGAAAGUCAAAAUAUUGAGGUGACCAGUUAACCUCAAACCCUUCCAGCCAGGGAAAUUGAAAACCAACUAAUAUAUUCCAUUUAAUGUAUAGCAAGUACAGGAACAUUUGCAAUGAAGCUCUUUUGGCAGAAUCCUUCAGGUAAGAUCUUGCUUUGUAGAUGCAGGGUAAGAUUGUUGCUAAGUAGACCAUGUACAGUAUAUGAGGCUAGAAAAUGUUACAGUAACUUGGACAGUCUGCUAAUCAGUGGAGGAAAAAUACUACAGAUGUGCUCCACUGUUCUGAAUGUGGUCUAUGUUGUUUGUGUUGUCACCCGAUGAUAGAGGCAAGUAAAAUUACAACCAUUAAAGUAAUUUGGCAGGUACAUGGACAGGAAAGGUUGAGUUUGGAUAUGGGUCGAAUGCAGGUAAAUGGAAUGAGUGUGGAUAGACAACUUGUUCAUCAUGGACAAGUUGAGGUGAAGGGUCUGUUUCCUUGCUCUAAAACCCUAAGAAUCUGUAAACUAGCAAAGAAGCAUCUUUAGUUAAAUGUCAAGAGUCUCUUAUUAUAGAGGUCUAGCCAUUUUUGAAAAAAAAGAGACACAUGCACUAUAGAUUUUCAGAAAUGUAUCAAAGGGGGUAGACAACUUCUUGAAAGGCCAAACGUUUGAUCCACUACCUUCAUGUGGAAGAUAGUGGACAACUCAGUGUAGUGUUGCCCUUUGGAGGUCAGAGAUGGAUAAUCCAAAGAACGCUUUCUCCUGUUUUUCUCUGUUCAACUAAGUUGCUGUGUGAUUGAAGAGCAAGGAGUGGGAUUUGCUGAGAUGAUGAGAAGAUUGCACAUGUGAUUUCCUAGCUUCUCCUUACUUGAUACUUUUAGUUGACUAUUUUGUGGUCAGAAAUUAAAGGCUAAUCUUUAUAGCAAUCCGUAAUGUGUUUUGCAAUGAGCAGAGAGGAAGCUGCAGUGAAAUGGUACAAAAAAAGUUAAGGUUUAUUGUGAUAUUAUUGUGAUGCUGACUAUCCAUUUCUUGAUAAAAAAGUACCCCUUCAUCUGAUAACUCUGUAAAUAAACAAAUCAAAAUCAUUGCUACCUACAAACCCCUAAGAGCCAAAGAAAUGUGAGCCAAUAGAAUUCAAAGGUCAACUGAAGGGGUAGCCAAUCUGGACUGAGACAACAAAAUGGUGGUGGUGGUGGUGGUCGUGGUGUAGGGGGGCUAUAUAAACAGUCCCAGAGGGAAACACCAACCAUUGCACACUGAGGAUCUCACCUCUACUGGUAAUGAAACGUCUGCAAGCUAAUUGCCAAACUUGGCAAACACGACUACAACAUCAAGAGAUAUAUCCAUCUACCUCUCAGGCAACUGGACUUCAACAGAGAGCUGCCAACAAUAAAGGUUUGCUCUGAAUAAUACUUUCCACAGGAGUGGGUCUCAAGGAAAAAAUUUUGGCAACAGUCAGCCCUUGGUGUAAUGGAAAAUCAAAUAAAUGAGAGACCACCUAAAUCUGUAUUCACUCUUGAAACUGAACUCGCACCAUACUGCAUGCUGUUAAUUCAAGAUGCAUUUGAUAAAUGAUGGAUCAUCUUGAGGCAUAGAAAGACCUAAUCCUUGUGGUACCUCAUGUCACACUUGUUUUUGAUUUCUUUCAAUUCCUUUUUGCAAGUAGUGACUCCAUUUGCUUUAAACAGAAUUAAACCUUGUCAUGGGACUCACUUUGCAUUAUUCAUUAGGAACAUCACUUUACACAAAAAAACAUUUGAAUGAAAAUCCUGUAGGCUUUUGUGUUCCAUUUUAUUGAACAAAGCCUUACUUCCAUCUCUGUAAGACUGCAUUCAUUCCUUUUUCUAUCCAUACAGAAGUAUGAUCGACGGAUUUAAAUUUUCAAAGUCACUUGGCAUCAGAAUCAGGUUUAACGCCGCUGGCAUAUGUCAUGAAAUUUGUUAACUUUCUGGAAGCAGAACAAUGCAAAACAUAAUAAUGAGAGGGAAAAAAACCUGAAUAAAACUAAAUAAGUCAUGCAAAAAUUGAUUUUAAAAAGUCAUGAGGUAGUGUUCAUGGGUGCAAUGUCCAUUCUGAACUUGGAUGGCAGAGGGGAAGAAACUAUUCCUGAAUUUCUGAGCGUGUGCCCUUAAGCUUCUAUACCUCCUUCCUGAGGGUAGCAAUGAGAAGCGGGUAUGUCCUAGGUCGAGGGUCGGCAACCCGCGGCUCCGGAGCCACAUGCGGCUCUUUUACCUCUGUGCUGCAGCUCCUUGUUGCUUUGGGAAAUAAUUGGUCUUUUGCAGCAUCCGCGCCCAUGGGGGCCAGGUUGAGGGAGGCUUAAAAGCAAGGCUAUUUAGUUCGAAUAAAGUUAUUCGACUGCAGUUUACUGACUGUGUGAGCACACCGCUACAACGUGUUUUUAUUGCUAUUAAUAUACGUCACCACUGCCAAUACCUGACACCCGUCAGUGCGCGAUUUCUUUAAUUUUUCGAUCCAAGGUAGGCCAACUAUGGAGAAUUCUAAAAAAAGAAAAGUGACUGAAGAAAACAGAACGUUUAAUGAUACGUGGACAGAUUCAUUUGCUUUCACUGUUGACGAGACUGGUUUACCGGUAUGCUUAAUAUGCAAUGAGAAACUAGCAAACAACAAAAAGUCAAAUGUUGCAAGGCAUUUCUAGAAUAAACACGCAGCCUUUGCUCAAAGAUAUCCGGAUGGAGAUGAGAGAAAAAAAGCCGUUUCGGAACUGAUGCGGAAGGUUGAUCUGAGCAAAAAUCAUUUCAAGCAAUGGAUGAAGUCCAGAAAACCAACGACAUACGCUAGUUAUAUUGCCGCUCAGGAAAUAGUCAGGCACGGGAAGCAGUUUACAGAUGGUGAAUAUAUAAAAGAAUCUUUCAUUAAGAUUUCAGAACAUCUAUUCACGGACUUUAAAAACAAGAGUGAAAUUGUGCAGAAAAUCAGGGAUAUGCCCCUCUCUGCAAAGACUGUCAAAGACAUAACCAUAAAAAUGGCAGAAGACAUCACAAGACAGCAAAUUAAAGACAUCAAUUCAGCUGUGGCCUACUCGAUUGCCUGUGACGAGUCUAAAGACAAAGGUGAUAUUGAACAAAUAGCGUUGUUCUGCCGGUAUGUAAACUCUGCCGGGCCACAGGAAGAACUGAUUGAGUUGAUACCUCUAAAAGACCAAACACGGGGGGAGGACAUCUGUGAGGCUAUCUUGAAUUGUUUAAGUGCCAAAGGAAUAAAGACUACCCACCUGGUGUCAGUAGCUACUGAUGGGGCACCGAAUAUGAUGGGAACGCACAAGGGAAUUGUGGCUUAACUGCAGAAGUCGCUGGACAGAAAGCUGCUGAUGUUUCACUGCAUCUUGCACCAAGAGGCACUGUGCGCUCAAACAUUUCCUCCAGAAUGCACAGAAGUAAUGGAUGUUGUCAUUCAGAUUGUCAAUAAAAUAAUGGCAAAAAGUUUAAAUCACCGUCAAUUCCGUUUGUUACUGGACGAGCUGGAAAGCGCAUAUUCUGAUCUCCUGCUGCACAACAAAGUCCGGUGGCUGUCCAGAGGGGAGGUGCUGAAACGCUUUGUCGCGUGUCUGGAAGAAGUGAAAACUUUCCUGGGCAGCAAAGGGCUGGAAAAGCUACACUUCAUGGUAGACAUGACAGCGCACCUGAACACGCUGAACACAGCUCUUCAGGGGAAAGGACGUACAGCCCUACACAUGUUGGAGGAUGUUUUGGCAUUCGAGCGCAAGUUGACAGUGCUUGCCAGAGAUUGACAGAAAGGCACUUUGUCUCACUUCCCCAAUUUGAGAGAGUUCAAACAAGGUCACGACAUGAUAAGUUCGGAGUAUUUACAUUCUGCAAUCAUCGCAAUGCAAACUUCGUUUGGGAAACGCUUCUGUGAGUUCAGAGAGGAAAAAAACACAUUAUCCUUCCCGGUCACUCCCCUAAGCAUCGAUUCAUCUCUACUGAAUACGACUGCAUUGGCAGGUAUGAGUAAACCUGAUCUUGAGAUGGAACUGGCCGAAAUAGCCGACAAAGACAUAUGGGUGUCCAAGUUUAGACACUUGACAGCAGACCUUGAAGAUGUUGCCCGUCAGAAGGCUGUUCUUGCUCAGAAUCACAAAUGGAGUGAUAUUGAAAACCUCCUAAAAGCAGACAAACUUGUGUUCGAAACAUGGAAUGCUAUCCCCAACAUUUAUGUAAACAUUAAAAAGUAUGCGCUUGGAGUCCUGUCGAUCUUUGGAUCCACAUAUGUAUGUGAGCAGGUGUUCUCCAACAUGAACUUUAUUAAAAACAAACAUCGUGCACGCCUCACAGAUGACAGCUUGCGAUCCUGUGUAAAGAUGAAGGUGACGUCAUACAGCCCUGAUGUGCAGAUGCUGUGCGCUGAGGUCCAGGAGCAGAAAUCCCAUUAACCAAGUAUGAUACAUAUUUUAAUUGCCUAUUAUUUUAGGAAUAUUCAUAUUUUUUCAUUGUUCAGUGAAAUAGUCCUUUUAUUUUUCAGGUUGACACCUGGCUGACGUUAUUUUUGGUUUGCGGCUGGCGGAAAAUUUAAGUUCAGCGUUUUUCGUAAAUACAAGAAGAACUCAAAUAGACAUUGAGUAUUUUACUUAAAAGUAACCUUCAACCCAACGUCUUUUUUUCGGAGUUCAAAAUGUUUUUGUUGCAUGCAGAAAUGUAAUUUCGUUUUCUCUGCAGGAGUUCAUCAAUUUCAUAAAUGCAACACAUUAUAGUUUGUUUAUACAUAGCAUAAAGGCAAAAAAAACGUUGUAUGCAGUGUUAUUUCAUUUUAAAUGUCAAACGGGUUUUGUGGCUCCCAGUGUUUUCUUUUCUGUGGGAAACGGGUCCAAGUGGCUCUUUCAGUGGUAAAAGUUGCUGACCCCUGUCCUAGGUGAUAGGGGUCCUUAGUUAUAGAUACUGUCUUUUUUAGAUGCUCCUUGAAGAUGUCCUGGAUGCUGGGGAGACUGAUGUCCAUGACGGAAUUACUGAGUUUACAACUCUGUGCAGCUUACUUCAAUCUUGUGCAGGAGUCCUCACCCUCCAUAACCGAUGGCAACCGCAAAACAAAAAAACAUUGUGGAACAUCAAACACCCAUCAUGCAAAAAAAGAACGAAUUGUGCAAAUGCGAAAAGCAAGUGGACAACAUGCAGCGCAAAUGGAAUCGUAGACACUUCCUUGCAGUUUAUUAUAAGAAGUCAAAUGGGAGGUGUAAACUAUUCUAUUACUUGGAUGCCGCAGGUGUUGGAUUUCCUGCAUUGUAGUUUACAGACUGAUGAAAUUAGAGCUCACGAUGACCCUUGCCAGAUUUAGAAUUGAAUCAUGUUUCUCUAACCUAUUCAUGGGCAAAAAGUAAAACUGAGCUUCUAAUGCAUUUUGUUACUUAUCAAUGUGCCCCAAAGAUUUAUAAAAAAGCAAUGUAUUUGAAAUAAAAUUGUUUAGGUUACCACAACUAAUUUUUACUCAGCUAGAUCAUACAACUACAAAAUAAAUGAGAGAGAUAGGUGUAUCAAUUGUACAAUGUGUAAAUCAACUGCAACAAUUAAAAACAAAAUCUAGAGUUAUCUUUUAAAUGGACUGAUGAAUUGGCUUAAUUGUUACACAUGAGGAAUAAAUUCGACCUAAUUAUCAGUGGUUGAAAGUUUUUCAGUAAUUGGAUUAGUUGUGAAACAUAAUUCACAAAAUUCGAUACUAAAUACUAGAUAGACACAGAAUCAAAAUUAGAUUUAACAUCACUGGCAUAUGACAUGAAAUUUGUUGUUAUAAAGCUGCAGUACAUUGCAAUACAUAAUAAUAAAAACUGUAAAUUAUGGAGUUACAAUGGCACUAGACAGCAACAUCUUCGAGCUCAUCUGCGGAAUCAGCUUAACUUCUAAGAUUAAUGUCUCUCAUUUUCCUUUUCAAGAUGCAUAGGGUUCUGUUGAAGACACUGACCUAGACCUGCAAUCAAACUUUAGCUCUUUACAAUGUUGGCUCCCACUCUCAGGGCCCACCAACUGGACAUUUUUCAAUAUCCCAAGGAUGCAGCCUAGAAGACAAGCACGCCUUUGGGGUUCUGAGUUCUUGCAGCCCUGGGGAUGAGUGGAUCCUAUGCCAGUGCCACUGACUGAAGCGUUGUGGGGGAAAACGGAAUAUUGGGAACAAUGGAUCAGCUGUCGUGGGAUACAGCACUGCGGUUUGAGUCACGCCACCCAGCAACCUCCGACAGCUCCGAGUUAACCCUAACCCGAUCAUGGGGCAACUUGCAAUGACUCAUUCAGCUAACUGGUACGUCUUUUGAAUGUGGGCAGAAACCAGCACACUUGCAGCAAUGAAGGUCCUCCAUCUCUGUCAGUAUAGAAGGAUUCUUCAUUGCUAUUUCUGUAACAGUUGUUUUUUUUUGAUCAGUCAGUGAUAGCCCUGAGCUGAACCCCUGAACCUGGAGGACCAGUGGGCCACUGGCCUCUAACCUUUGACCUAUUAUCACGGGUAACCCUAUCAAGAGCCAAGGCACAAAGCCCUGACUCCAGCCAACAUAGCUCUCCAGAUCAUUGAGGCGUGCAAGCCUCCAAACCCAUGACAAGGUUGUGAUAGUCUUGGAGGAGAGGCAGUUAUAAUGGGGAGGACCUACAGAGACUCCUUACAGAGGACACCUGAAUUGAACUCCAAACUUCAAUUUCCUGAGCUCCAAUAGUAUCGUGCUAACCGUUAUGCUACUGUGGGGCCCAUCUGUAUCUUUGACUUACAUUUCUUUACUUCAUCUUCCAGGGCUGACACAGUAGUGUUGUGGUUAGCAUUAUACUAUUACCGCACCAGCAACCCAGGUUCAAUACCUGCCACUGCCUGUAGGGCAUCUGUAUGUUCUCCCUGUGGCAAUGCAGGUUUCCUCCUGGAGCUCUGGUUUCCUCCCACAUUACAAGGAUGUACAAAUUAGUAGUUUAAUUAGUCUGAACAGUGAAAUUGGGCAGCCCUCAUAUGAACUCUUCUCCCUACUGCCAUCUGGCAAAAGAUAUUGAAGCAUUUGGGCUCUCACGACCAGACUGUGUGCAACUGUUUCUUCCCACAAGCCAUCCGACUCCUCAAUACCCUACAUCAUGUUUUAUUAUAUUGAGAUUUGUUCUCUACAGUGCCUAUUGUCUUGCUUAUUAAUUAAUUACUGUACUGCCCUGCACUGUUUUGUGCACUUUAUUUAGUCCUGUGUAGGUCUGUAAUCUAGUGUAGCUUUUUUGUUGUUUUUUGUAGUCUAGUGUCUCACAUAGUCUAGUGUAGUUUUGUGAUGUUUGAUGUAGCACCAGGGUCCUGGAGGAACGUUGUUUCGUUUUUACUGUGUACUGUACCAGCAGUUUAUGGUCAAAAUGACAAUAAAAAGUGAGUUGACUUGACCUUGGGCUCAUUGGGCUAGAAGGGCCUGUUAUCAUGCUGUAUCUCUAAAUAAAACAAUUUCUAUUUAUUUAUUUAUUUAUGAAUGCACUCACUGACUUGCUUUGUUGUCUUCACAGAUAUCAACAGCCCACUGGUAUAUUGAUUAAAAACUAUUAUUCAUGUAGAAAAGCAGAUAAUUAGUGUCAGGAGGCUGCUAAAGUGCAUCUGUAUUAUAGCCACGUUUUUAAUCUCAUCUUUAGUGAAUGCCUGAGCCUGCUUUCCACAGGCGCCCUCCUCAGCAGCCUAGGAUGGGUAUUGUUGUUGACUUUUAAAGUCCUCUGGCUUUGCAGAUCUGAGGCCAGUUUUAUUUCCAUGUUUGUGACCCAGAAACAGAUAGGAAGCAGAUAACAUGUUUUUCAAAGGGAAGUGAAAGUAGGGCCAUUUCUUGCUGUUGUUGUUGCUUAUUUUGUCAUAACUUGCUACUAUAUAACUGUAGUAUAAGUAUAUAAGAUAGUGAGGUCAGCUGAGAAAAUCAUCGGGGUCUCUCUUCCCGCUAUCACGGACGAGAGAUGCAGCACUACAUGCUGCAUCCACAAAGAAAACAGCAUUAUGAAGGACCCCAUGCACCCAUCAUACAAUCUCUUCUCCUUCCUGCCAUCUGGGAAAAGGCUCUAAAGCAUUCGGGCUCUUACGACCAGACUAUAUAACAGUUUCUUCCCCCGAGCUAUCAGACUCCUCAAUACCCGAAACCUGGACUGACACCUUGCCCUACUGUCCUGUUUAUUAUUUAUUGUAAUGCCGGUACUGUUUUUGUGCACUUUAUACAAUCCAGUGUAAGUCUGUAAUCUAGUAUAGCUUUCUCUGUGUUUUUUUUUCUAUUACAUAGUUCAGUCUAGUUUUUGUACUGUGUCAUGUAAACCAUGGUCCUGAAAAACAUUGUCUCAUUUUUACUAUGCACCGUACCAACAGUUAUGGUCAAAAUGACAGUAAAAGUUGACUUGACUUGACUUGAUAAUGCUUUCAAGAUUCAUGAUUUUUUAUUUUGAUUCCUCGGUACAUGAGCGUAAAGAGUAAAAUGAGUGCUACUCCCAAUCCAACGCAGU